GGUAACCACCUACUUCCUGUCCCCAUGCAUCUGACGACUCUAGGGACCUCACCUAAGUGGAAUCAUACAGCGCUUGUCUUUUUGUGACUGCCGUUGUCGGUUUUGAGUGAUUUCUUUAAACGACAGAAUUAAGAACCAUAACGUAUUUUUUUUUUAAACCUAGCCUUAGUUCUAGGAGAGAAAUAGAUCUUCUAAAUUUGACCAGGCUCUUCCUGAAAUGGUCUGAACCAUCUUAACUGUGAACAGUGCAGCUUCACACCAAGACCUUGAGCAACCAGCCCUACAGGCUUUCAGUUCACUGUGGGUUUGCUCUGGCCUUGAAUCAGCAGGAUCGGGCCACACACAUGUGAGACAGAAAGCCAGGGCAGCCUCUUCCCCUUGCAGGCCUGUCCAAGAGACUUCCAGAAGCCUGGCCUUGAGGGGCUGGAGAUUCACAAGUAUUAGAGUGAGCGUCUCAUGGCAAUGAGGAUCUUCUUGGAGUCUGCAUCUCUCUUUUUAUGUAAUGUUAAAAAACCCUGCUGACUUUCCGAGGCAGCGAAGGCUCAAGUGAGAGGUUCUGUAAUGGAACAGCUUCCAACAGAGAAGAAAAUUCCAUGACCCACAAGCCGCUGGUUUUUUACAUGAAGCAGGCCUUGGGGCAGAGGUUUGAGAUGUUUUUAUUUUUAAAGCGGCACAUCUGUAAAGAAUGCCCUUUACAUAUGUACUAAAGAAAAGUGUACAAAUGUUAGAUGAUUAAAGUGUCUCUGAACAAGUGACUUCACACCAUGCCUGGGGCUGGUCCCUCUCUGUCUGUGACCCCUGCUCUGUCACCCAGCUGGUCAGGUGUGAUGGGACGUGCUGCUUGUGUUCCUAACGUCCUCCUGUUUCAGGAGCCGACGAGGUUCUCCCCUUUUGGCUGAUGCAGACUACAGAACUCCUGGAUUCCUGGAAAACAAGACAGCAGGCAAGGAAGCAGUGGCGGCUCUUGGUGGCCCUGCCCUUUGCUGGCGAGGCUGCGUCUAGAUGGGGUGGAGUCCCCAGGUGGCUUAAUUCUCCCAAUAGUCCCAUUUCGGCUUAUGCCCUGAAUCUCUGAAAGUGAGCCCAAUACUGCCCACUGCCCAUCUGUGGUUAUAACCACAACUGGAGGCCUCACGCUGGCCCAUUCUACAGAUCAAGAAUCCUGGAAAUGAUGUGAUUUACCCUCAACACCAUUUCACUAGGUCAAAAGGACUCAGCCGCAAACCGGGAGCCUAAAGCUUUAACUGCUGACGACACCUGUGCCUUAGAUUCAGUGCCCCUGAUGGCUGCCUGUCGUUGACUGAAUCAGGCCUGCACAUGGGUUGGGUCUGGCUCACUGUGCUGCUUUUUUCUUCUUCAUUUCUUUUUAUAGCUUUAUUGAGGUGUACUUCCUAUACCAUAAACUUCACCAUGUGUUUUAAACUAUGACUUAGUUCACAACACUGAUGUACCGGAAGAUUUUUCAAGACUCCUGGCUUCCCGGGCUGAUGGGGUCAUCCCAGACCUCACUACCCCAGUGUCCCCACCAAAGCUGUGUGGCCACUUAUGGCUGCAGUGACCACUUAUGGUCCUGAACGGGGCCUUCUCACACCCAGCCCACUCUGCUCAUUUACGUCACUUCCUGGCCCCGUGCCGUCUGGAUUCACAAGACUCACUUCAACACUUACUCUGAAUUAUACUUCUGUAGGCUAAGGUGGCUGGUGAAUCCGGUGCUUCAACCAAAAAAGACUGUCCUUUGUCGCAACUCUUACCUUAAAGAAACAAAGGAAAGAAAAUCCAUGAAGAAAGCACAGUGGUGAUGUGAACCUGGGGCUCUUUCUGUGCCCGUGACACUGAAGAUCGAGCCCACCUCACUUGAAAUGAAGAUCAAAGCUGAGACGGAAUGUCGGGGUCUCGAGGACCUCACCUUCCCCCCCUCCAUCCAGCAGGGACCCUGGCUAGCGUUUCCUCGCAGCUCUGACCUGUACCUGGCUGAUGGUGUUUAGUGUGUGUGCCUGCGAGUCAUCUGGGUCAUGUGCAGCAAAUGCAGGUUCCAGGGCCCCCAUUGUGAUCAGAUACAGCAGCUCCUAGGCAGGCCCAGGAACCUGCAUUUAAAAGACCCAUUCACUCUUUCAGUAAAAAGAUAAUGAAGGCACACAGUAAGUGUAUGGAAUACAAAAGGUUAUACCAUGAAGAAUGAGUUCAAAGGAGGCUACCACUGUUUCAAGUAUCCUUCUAGAAAUAUAUGCAUAUAUAUACAUAUACACACUCAUGUAUUUAAAAAAAAUGCUUGGGAGUGUAUGACACACAUAUUCUGCCCGUUGCUUUCUCCAUGUGUAAUUUUAUCUUGAAGGUCACUCCAGGUUGGCAUCAAUCCAUCUGCUCUGUGUACUGCAGUGCCGCCUUGGGACACACAGGUGGUCUCGCAUCCAGGUGAGCACGGGGCGGGACCUUGGGCAGGCGGCGUGCUCCCCUCCCGUCUGGUCCUGGGUAGACCCCGCUGCCAGCUCCUCUGCCCCCGCCCCCCCUGCUGGAGAAGCAGGAUCAGUGGUUCCACGACCCACAGCUGCUCCCCAGCCUCCUGGGGGGAUCCUGGCCAGGCCAACCGUGGAGCAGUCGUCACCUCAGCUCCCCAGCAUGUUGCCCGGUGGGACAGGGACACCCGAGACGGGGGGCAGAGUGGGCCCCCAUGUGGCCCGGGCACUGUGAACUGUGGCGGAAGCAGCUAGGGAAGCCUCCGAGUUCACGGUCGCUGGACUGGGUCUGGGAAGUCACAGGCCCCACAGCAGGCUCGUGGGGCCACUUCCUUCUGAUUUUCAUCCAGCGUCCUCUCACUCCUCGUCCUCCCUUCCCCAGAGGACACGUCUGUCCCCUUAUAAAUGCGCUCUGGUCAGUCCCCCAUCUCCACAAACCUCCCCCUCUCCUGCCUGUCGCCUGCAGGCGGCACCCCUUGGGCACUGCCCUGUCCAAGGCUCCCCUCGUGGCCCUCCUUCCAUCUGUGCAGCCCCUGGCAGUGGCUCCAUCACCGUGCCCACCUUGCAGGUGCGGCCUGAGGUUCAGUGCCUGGCAAGGACCCGCCAGAGCCCGCAGCCAGCGCUGGGGCAGCGCAGAUCUAGGCCAGGGCGCCCAGCCCCAGACGUGCUUCCGCGUGACCCUCAGGUGUGCGGGGCUGGGGAGGCCGAGGAUCACGUUGCCAGAGCCCGGCCGCUCCUCUGCUGCACGUUCCCACAGGGGCUGAGCGCGUCCUUCGCGGCCUCUUGUCUGUUCCUGGUAACGUGGCUGUUCCCUCACCGGACAGAAGCGGCUCCAGAGGGUCACAGCGACCUCACUUGGCCCUGCCUGCCUCGCCGCAGCGCGUCACGGCAUUAACAGCCUGUCCUUUCCGACGCCGGCCCAGCUCUCUGCAGCUACAACCAGAGGCCCCUCCCGCCGCCCCGAAGUUCUCCUGCUCCCUCGGCUACGCGCCACGCGUCUCACUGCUCCUCUCAGCUGGAGGGCACGCAGCCUCCACCGGGGACUCACCCACCUAUGCGCGGAUCCA